rnacentral:rRNA from 1 species
GACGAACCGUGCGAACGUUAUUCGGAAUCACUGGGCUUAAAGCGCGUGUAGGCGGGGCGGCACGUCGGCCGCUGAAAUCCCCCGGCUCAACCGGGGAAGCGGCGCCGAUACGACCGCCCUGGAGGGGCGUAGGGGGACCUGGAACUUCCGGUGGAGCGGUGAAAUGCGUAGAUAUCGGAAGGAACACCGGUGGCGAAAGCGGCGCUCUGGCCCUCUUCUGACGCUGAGGCGCGAAAGCCAGGGGAGCAAACGGG